rnacentral:rRNA from 1 species
GACGAACGCUGGCGGCGUGCCUAAUACAUGCAAGUGGGACGCAAGGGAACACACUGUGCUUGCACAUCGUGUUUUCUUGAGUCGCGAACGGGUGAGUAACGCGUAGGUAACCUGCCUAUUAGCGGGGGAUAACUAUUGGAAACGAUAGCUAAUACCGCAUAAUAUUAAUUAUUGCAUGAUAAUUGAUUGAAAGAUGCAAGCGCAUCACUAGUAGAUGGACCUGCGUUGUAUUAGCUAGUUGGUAAGGUAAGAGCUUACCAAGGCGACGAUACAUAGCCGACCUGAGAGGGUGAUCGGCCACACUGGGACUGAGACACGGCCCAGACUCCUACGGGAGGCAGCAGUAGGGAAUCUUCGGCAAUGGACGAAAGUCUGACCGAGCAACGCCGCGUGAGUGAAGAAGGUUUUCGGAUCGUAAAGCUCUGUUGUAAGUCAAGAACGUGUGUGAGAGUGGAAAGUUCACACAGUGACG